rnacentral:rRNA from 1 species
AUUGAACGCUGGCGGCGUGCUUAACACAUGCAAGUCGAACGGUGAACGAGGGAGCUUGCUCCCUCCGGAUCAGUGGCGAACGGGUGAGUAACACGUGAGCAAUCUGCCCUGGACUCUGGGAUAAGCGUUGGAAACGACGUCUAAUACCGGAUACGAGGCGUGGGGGCAUCCCCAACGCCUGGAAAGAACUUCGGUCCAGGAUGAGCUCGCGGCCUAUCAGCUAGUUGGUGAGGUAACGGCUCACCAAGGCGACGACGGGUAGCCGGCCUGAGAGGGUGACCGGCCACACUGGGACUGAGACACGGCCCAGACUCCUACGGGAGGCAGCAGUGGGGAAUAUUGCGCAAUGGGCGAAAGCCUGACGCAGCAACGCCGCGUGAGGGAUGACGGCCUUCGGGUUGUAAACCUCUUUCAGCAGGGAAGAAGCGAAAGUGACGGUACCUGCAGAAGAAGCACCGGCUAACUACGUGCCAGCAGCCGCGGUAACAC